GGAAGGUGGGGAUGACGUCAAAUCAUCAUGCCCCUUAUGACCUGGGCUACACACGUGCUACAAUGGACAGAACAAAGGGCAGCGAAACCGCGAGGUUAAGCCAAUCCCACAAAUCUGUUCUCAGUUCGGAUCGCAGUCUGCAACUCGACUGCGUGAAGCUGGAAUCGCUAGUAAUCGCGGAUCAGCAUGCCGCGGUGAAUACGUUCCCGGGCCUUGUACACACCGCCCGUCACACCACGAGAGUUUGUAACACCCGAAGUCGGUGAGGUAACCUUUUAGGAGCCAGCCGCCGAAGG
rnacentral:rRNA from 1 species